rnacentral:tRNA from 2 species
GGAGAGGUGCUGGAGUGGUUGAACAGAGCCGCCUGCUAAGCGGUUAAGCUUGGAAACGGGCUUCGAGGGUUCGAAUCCCUCCCUCUCCG